GAUCCAGACGAUAGUGAUAGGGCGAGUCGGAAUAUGCAUCUCACUCAAUCUACUAAGACUGCUAAAACUUAGGCGGUAAAACUUCAGUUUUUUACAUUAAAGAAACACAAUUUUGAUGAUCAUUUCUCCUUCUCGCUGGCCAAUUACAUCAAAAACAUUUUCAAAACACUUAACUUCGCACCACUUACCGAAAAAUAAUAAAGAAAUCACCCCACCUUUGAUGCGCUAGCCGCUACGCACACACCACGGUAUAUAGAGAACUAGGUAAAACCGGUUCGCCGCCACAACACUAAGGGUGCGUUCUUUGAGCAGAUUUCACGUGGAAUUUCACGUGGAAUCGGCAAUCAAGGCGUUCUUUGCCGAUUCCACGCGGAAUUUCACGUGAAAUCCCGCGAAAUUUCACGUGAAAUAAGGGAAUCGGAAAAGCUUGUCCCGAGCGCUAUUUUCAAGAUGGCGACGCCCACUGGAGGAGGCAACAUGCAUGUGGCAAUGUGGCUCUGCCAAGCGUGUGAUGGAUUGUUUCAAACUAUGGAGGAAAGUCUCAACUGCCCAAACCACAGUGGACCAAUGAUAAGUAUGCAAGGAGGAGAGGUGUCUGAGGAUCACAAUGCUGCUGUCUCAAGUGCAAACCCGAGUGGAGCUCGGCAGAUACGCUGGAAUUCCAACACAGUAGCUUUGCUGAUAGAUGCCUGCAAUGAAGCCAAGGUGAACAGUGCAGUGGGCUCUAAACAGCAAAAGCAGAAACAGUGGGAGGAAGUCAAGCUGGACUUUGAAGAACAGGGAUACUUGGUCCCAGAUUGGGAAUUCUUACGCAAGAAAUGGUACAGGCUAGUUAACAAGUACAAAGAAGUAAAAGACAAAAUGUCAAGGAGUGGCUCAGAAGCUGUUUCUUGGGAAUGGUUUGAUGCCAUGGAGAAAGUGAUGGGAAGGGAUCCAAAUGUACAGCCUGUGGCACGUCUUUCCACUGUGCCGCACAGUGUCCAGCCACUACAGGUAACCCAGGUAGACCCACAACUUGUCUCCACUUCCAGCCCCAGCAGCAGCAGCAGCAGCAGCAGCACGAGCAGCAGGGGGGUGCAACUGCAAGAUUCAUCGGCUGGCAACAUCUCGCAGGAGAAUAGAAGAAAAAGGAAGCGUGCUGACUCAGACAACACAUCCUUGCAGGAUGCCUGGAUAAUGGAGUUGGAAGACAGGAGGAAGUACCGGGAAGCAAAGCUGGAUAUAGCAAAGAAGAAGAUGGAGCUUCUUGAACGCCUUGUCAACAAACACUGUGAAUAAGCAUGGGAUUGGACAGCAAUCUCCAGAGGGUGUGCCAAGUUAGUUUGUGUAAAGUAAGGUAGCCAGUUAGUUAGUGCCAAGCCCAGAGCUAGUCAAGAUCGUUUGCACUUUUGAAUGCACAUGGGGGAACAAUUUGUCACAUAGGUACCUACCAUGUUGUGACCGUCUGAGAGCUUUCUGAUUCCGCAUUGUGUGUGACAUGCUUUCAAAAGCUAUAUCAACUGAUAGUUGGGGCACACAUUCCGUGUUGUUAGAAGUCCUGAGAAUUGAGCAAUAUCUAUGGUGGAUUUCAUUGCAGCACUGCUGUGUUGUAUCUCAUCGCUGUGUUCAACUUAAUCUUUCAAAAUGUACAAAUGUUCGUCGUUCACGGUGCAGGAGAAGCGCUGACAAAGGUCAUGCAUUCGUAUAACACCAUUUUGUAGAUAUGUUUGCUAUAACGAGAAUGGUUCAGAAAUACAUUUUCUUUGAAA